AAGUCUACCCAUAAUUCCCUGUAUGGCCGAGGGCGCCAUUUUGGAACACAAAUGUAAACAAACACUCAAACCUCGUGUAAUCGAUGUACACCGUGAUGCUUGAUUGCGAUAUGCUUACCUCGUGUAUCGAUACAUUGUUCUCAAUCACCUCUAACACGGAAAUCCCGGUCGAAAUCCACCUGAGCCAUCCACAACGAGGACGUCAAGUAUUUCGAAAACUCGAUUGACAGCCGAAGGAGGAGCAGCUUGCGGAUGCCAGCAUGUUCAGGGUUUGUGGGGAGGUUCACAGACAUCCUCAGGGGGGAUACAAAGUAUUGAAAUGUCCGGAUGAAUAAAAGAGACAGUCAUCUGUGCAGCAUCAAUGCAAUGAAAGACCAUAGAAGAGCAACAGUGAAACUGAAGUCCUGCUUGAGAUCCCUGGAUGAGUACUCCAGGUUGACAGUCUGGAAGGACCAGACAAGGGAGUCCUAAACAGAGGGUGCACCCCUUCAGAUAUCAGAGGUCGAGGGUCCUGUUAUUUCAAUGGAGGCCGACCAAGAAGUUGUAUGCCAAAUGGUACAGGGACACACAAAGGCUGGUCUGCCUAAUGUGAGAAGACCAACCGAUGCCAAGC